rnacentral:rRNA from 1 species
UACGGAGGGUGCAAGCGUUAUCCGGAUUCACUGGGUUUAAAGGGUGCGUAGGUGGGCAAGUAAGUCAGUGGUGAAAUCUCCGGGCUUAACCCGGAAACUGCCAUUGAUACUAUUUGUCUUGAAUACUGUGGAGGUCAGCGGAAUAUGUCAUGUAGCGGUGAAAUGCUUAGAUAUGACAUAGAACACCAAUUGCGAAGGCAGCUGACUACGCGAGUAUUGACACUGAGGCACGAAAGCGUGGGGAUCAAACAGG